UACGGAAGGUCCGGGCGUUAUCCGGAUUUAUUGGGUUUAAAGGGAGCGUAGGCCGGAGAUUAAGCGUGUUGUGAAAUGUAGACGCUCAACGUCUGCACUGCAGCGCGAACUGGUUUCCUUGAGUGCACACAAGGAUGCCGGAAUUCAUGGUGUAGCGGUGAAAUGCUCAGAUAUCAUGAAGAACUCCGAUUGCGAAGGCAGCUCACUGGAGCGCAACUGACGCUGAAGCUCGAAAGUGCGGGUAUCGAACAGC
rnacentral:rRNA from 1 species